rnacentral:rRNA from 1 species
GACGAACGCUGGCGGCGUGCUUAACACAUGCAAGUCGAACGGAAAGGCCCUGCUUUUGUGGGGUGCUCGAGUGGCGAACGGGUGAGUAACACGUGAGUAACCUGCCCUUGACUUUGGGAUAACUUCAGGAAACUGGGGCUAAUACCGGAUAGGAGCUCCUGCUGCAUGGUGGGGGUUGGAAAGUUUCGGCGGUUGGGGAUGGACUCGCGGCUUAUCAGCUUGUUGGUGGGGUAGUGGCUUACCAAGGCUUUGACGGGUAGCCGGCCUGGGAGGGUGACCGGCCACAUUGGGACUGAGGUACGGCCCAGACUCCUACGGGAGGCAGCAGUGGGGAAUAUUGCACAAUGGGCGGAAGCCUGAUGCGGCAACGCCGCGUGCGGGAUGACGGCCUUCGGGUUGUAAACCGCUUUCGCCUGUGACGAAGCGUGAGUGACGGUAAUGGGUAAAGAAGCACCGGCUAACUACGU